rnacentral:rRNA from 1 species
AUUGAACGCUGGCGGCAUGCCUAACACAUGCAAGUCGAACGGCAGCACGGGGGCAACCCUGGUGGCGAGUGGCGGACGGGUGAGGAAUGCAUAGGAAUCUGCCCAGUUGUGGGGGAUAACGUAGGGAAACUUACGCUAAUACCGCAUACGACCUACGGGUGAAAGAGGGGGACCUUCGGGCCUCUCGCGAUUGGAUGAGCCUAUGCCGGAUUAGCUAGUUGGCGGGGUAAGAGCCCACCAAGGCGACGAUCCGUAGCUGGUCUGAGAGGAUGAUCAGCCACACUGGGACUGAGACACGGCCCAGACUCCUACGGGAGGCAGCAGUGAGGAAUCUUGGGCAAUGGGCGAAAGCCUGACCCAGCGACGCCGCGUGGAGGAAGAAGGUCUUCGGAUCGUAAACUCCUGUUCGGGGAGAAGAACAAGAGAGAAGUUAAUAGCUUCUCUCUCUGACGGUAUCCCCGGAGAAAGCUCCGGCUAAUUACGUGCCAGCAGCCGCGGU